UACCCCAGAUAUUAUAACACAGAGUUCAAAAAGAAUUCAGUCGUAUGUCAUCAAUUCUGAAUUCAUUUUCAGAUGCAAAAAGAAUUCUU